AAUAAGGAACCCUAAGGCCACUCAGUACGCUUCAUGGCUGAGGAGGGAUUUGAACCCAGGACCUGGAAGAGCAGGAUUCAAAUCCCUCCUCAGCCAUGAAGCAUACUGAGUGGCCUUAGGGUUCCUUAUU